rnacentral:lncRNA from 10 species
AAAACACAGUUCGGCUCCCUCCCCCUCCCCCUCUCCCUCUCCCCUCUUUCCACGGUCUCCCUCUCCCUCUCUUUCCACGGUCUCCCUCUCAUGCCCAGCCGAAGCUGGACUGUGCUGCUGCCAUCUCGGCUCACUGCAACCUCCCUGCCUGAUUCUCCUGCCUCAGCCUGCCGAGUGCCUGCGAUUGCAGGCGCACGCCGCCACGCCUGACUGGUUUUCGUAUUUUUUUGGUGGAGACGGGGUUUCGCUGUGAUGGCCGGGCUGGUCUCCAGCUCCUAACCGCGAGUGAUCCGCCAGCCUCGGCCUCCCGAGGUGCCGGGAUUGCAGACGGAGUCUCGUUAACUCAGUGCUCAAUGGUGCCCAGGCGGGAGUGCAGUGGCGUGAUCUCGGCUCGCUACAACCUCCACUUCCCAGCCGCCUGCCUUGGCCCCCCAAAGUGCCGAGAUUGCAGCCUCUGCCCAGCCGCUACCCCAUCUGGGAAGUGAGGAGCGUCUCUGCCUGGCCGCCCAUGGUCUGGGAUGUGAGGAGCCCCUCUGCCUGGCUGCCCAGUCUGGAAAGUGAGGAGCGUCUCUGCCCGGCCGCCAUCACACCUAGGAAGUGAGGAGCACCUCUUCCCGGCCGCCAUCCCAUCUAGGAAGUGAGGAGCGUCUCUGCCCGGCCGCCCAUCGUCUGAGAUGUGGGGAGCGCCUCUGCCCCGCUGCCCCGUCUGGGAUGUGAGGAGAGCCUCGGCCGGGCCGCAACCCUGUCCGGGAGGUGAGGAGCGUCUCUGCCCGGCCGCCCUGUCUGAGAAGUGAGGAGACCCUCCGCCUGGCAACCGCCCCGUCUGAGAAGUGAGGAGCCCCUCCGCCCUGCUGCCACCCCGUCUGGGAAGAAGUCAGCUGCCAUGUCACGAGGACACUCAAGCAGAUCUAUGAAGAUGACUACAUGGCAAGAAAGUAAGGCCUCCUGCCCACAACAGCCACGUGGGUGAGCCAUCUUGGAAGUGGCUCCUCCAGUCCCAGUCAGGUCUUUGGAUGACUGCAGCCUCAGCCAACAUCUUGACUGCAACUGCAUGUGAGACCAUGAACUAGAACCAUACAGCUAAGCCACUCAGAAUUCCCAACCCCAGAAACUGUGAGCCGAAGCUGGACUGUACUGCUACCAUCUCGGCUCACUGCAACCUCCCUGCCUGAUUCUCCUGCCUCAGCCUGCCCAGUGCCUGUGAUUGCAGGGGCGCGCCGCCACGCCUGACUGGUUUUCGUAUUUUUUUGAUGGAGACGGGGUUUCGCUGUGUUGGCUGGGCUGGUCUCCAGCUCCUAACCGCGAGUCAUCUGCCAGCCUCGGCCUCCCGAGGUGCCGGGAUUGCAGACGGAGUCUCGUUCACUCAGUGCUCAAUGUUGCCCAGGCUGGAGUGCAGUGGUGUGAUCUCGGCUAGCUACAACCUCCACCUCCCAGCCGCCUGC